AACGAACGCUGGCGGCAUGCCUAACACAUGCAAGUCGAACGAGACCUUCGGGUCUAGUGGCGCACGGGUGCGUAACGCGUGGGAACCUGCCCUUAGGUUCGGAUUAACUCCCCGAAAGGGGUGCUAAUACCGGAUAAUGUCUUCGGACCAAAGAUUUAUCGCCUUUGGAUGGGCCCGCGUUGGAUUAGCUAGUUGGUAGGGUAAAAGCCUACCAAGGCGACGAUCCAUAGCUGGUCUGAGAGGAUGAUCAGCCACACUGGGACUGAGACACGGCCCAGACUCCUACGGGAGGCAGCAGUGGGGAAUAUUGGACAAUGGGCGAAAGCCUGAUCCAGCAAUGCCGCGUGAGUGAUGAAGGCCUUAGGGUUGUAAAGCUCUUUUACCCGGGAUGAUAAUGACAGUACCGGGAGAAUAAGCUCCGGCUAACUCCGU
rnacentral:rRNA from 1 species